UGAUUGAUUCAGUGUGUUCACGCAGCAGUGCUUUGCAGCGGCUGUGUUUGGAUCUGUUUUUCAUAGCGGAGCAAAAUAGGCAACCGAAAAUAUGUUGCCUUAAACUUUAACCAGUGGGGCUCCAAGAGCAAGUGGAAUUCCGUCUGAAAAAAGUCAAGGGGAAACAGGCAGUUUUGAUGUUUUCCAAAACAAUGUGUGUCAGAAAGGCGGGACAGAUCAUAUACGCUCCACGAAAUCCUCAAGAGUGUUAGAGCAGGGAACGACUCGGUGAAGAAGAAAACAGCAAUGCAGUGAGAGCAGAAUAAAUUCAGAGCUCGUCCGCUCAUCAUGGGAUCCUUCCAAGCUUCGUAUGAAGUCUCCAGAGCUCUCCUCAUCUUCAGAGCAGAAGGAAACCCCGGGUUAAAGCUCCACAGCUCUGCGUGAUCGGGAGCAAAUGGAUAAACAUCCACCCCGCGCUCGUGUUUUCCGUGUUUGCUCCCAGAAGAAGAGAAGAGCUGCAACGUUCCAAAAAAAGAAACACAAAACCCACAUACAGCACCCAAACAAACACAGGCACUCCCACAUCUGUCACCGGCACAGAGGCUUUGAGACGUGUGCCGAGGACUCCGCGGGGGGAAGAAGGCCUCUAUGUUUUCGACACGUCUAAUCUCUCUAAGCCCCAUCGCUUUCAGAGUUUUUGAUGUUGAGAUAAGGGCGCAUCUGCACCCCCGGAAACCUUAAACCCCGUUCCUCCGCAAACACACCAGGGAUUGUCGGUUAGCGAGCGCUGCAGAUUAUAGAAAGACUUUUGGGGGUCAGAGGUCAGAUAAAUGUUUCACCGCAGCUGAUCGUGUUGAAAAUACAUUCUGACUCCUUCAAAGGGGGUUAACCUCAUGACCGUAAAUAUGCCAGGUAUCUGCUGGUGUAUAAACGUGCAGCCGUAAAACACUUCAAAUGAGCUGUUUGUGCCGGAGACCGAUAAGGACGCGCAGUAAUUUCUUUCUUUCUUUUUUCCGUCUUAGAAAAGAAUGCUAGUGUGCUACGCUUUAUAGAUCCAUUAAAAGAAAAUCUCUGGAAUGUCCAGAGGAAUAACAUCCAUUUCCUAUUUGUGCGGCUUGUACCAUCUGAAACGUAUUGCUCUUAAAGUUGAAAGCACCUGUACAGCGAGCGAAUAUUUUUGAAAUCAGCCGUGAUAAAACGGCGCGGAAAAUAAACGGAAUAAAAUUUGUGCAUAUUCUUUUUAUAUGGCGCCGUAAAGGCAAAAGCUAUCGUGUACUGAUAAGCCUUUCUGAUUUAGAAAAAAGCUGUGCUUUGUUUGAACUCAGAAGCGUUUUAACAAAGUAUCACGAUCAUUUCUGGUCGCGUUUUGUUACAACAAAGAAUAUUAGUGUUUCAUCAUAAACUGAAGAAGAGGGAAGCCACA